rnacentral:rRNA from 1 species
AUUCAGCGGCGGACGGGUGAGUAAUGCCUAGGAAUCUGCCCGAUAGUGGGGGACAACGUUUCGAAAGGAACGCUAAUACCGCAUACGUCCUACGGGAGAAAGCAGGGGACCUUCGGGCCUUGCGCUAUCGGAUGAGCCUAGGUCGGAUUAGCUAGUUGGUGGGGUAAAGGCUCACCAAGGCGACGAUCCGUAACUGGUCUGAGAGGAUGAUCAGUCACACUGGAACUGAGACACGGUCCAGACUCCUACGGGAGGCAGCAGUGGGGAAUAUUGGACAAUGGGCGAAAGCCUGAUCCAGCCAUGCCGCGUGUGUGAAGAAGGUCUUCGGAUUGUAAAGCACUUUAAGCUGGGAGGAAGGGCAGUAAGUUAAUACCUUGCUGUUUUGACGUUACCAGCAGAAUAAGCACCGGCUAACUUCGUGCCAGCAGCCGCGGUAAUACGAAGGGUGCAAGCGUUAAUCGGAAUUACUGGGCGUAAAGCGCGCGUAGGUGGUUCAGCAAGUUGGAUGUGAAAGCCCCGGGCUCAACCUGGGAACUGCAUCCAAAACUACUGGGCUAGAGUAUGGUAGAGGGUGGUGGAAUUUCCUGUGUAGCGGUGAAAUGCGUAGAUAUAGGAAGGAACACCAGUGGCGAAGGCGACCACCUGGACUAAUACUGACACUGAGGUGCGAAAGCGUGGGGAGCAAACAGGAUUAGAUACCCUGGUAGUCCACGCCGUAAACGAUGUCAACUAGUUGUUGGGUUCCUUGAGGACUUAGUAACGAAGCUAACGCGAUAAGUUGACCGCCUGGGGAGUACGGCCGCAAGGUUAAAACUCAAAUGAAUUGACGGGG